GGAGGAAAAGAAACUAACAAGGAUUCCCCUAGUAACGGCGAGUGAACCGGGAAGAGCUCAAAUUUGAAAUCUGGCGUGCUCAGUGCGUCCGAGUUGUAAUCUAUAGAGUCGUUUUCCGUGCCGGACUGUGUCCAAGUCCCUUGGAACAGGGUAUCAAAGAGGGUGAUAAUCCCGUACUUGACACAAUGACCGGUGCUCUGUGAUACGUCUUCUACGAGUCGAGUUGUUUGGGAAUGCAGCUCAAAAUGGGUGGUGAGUUCCAUCUAAAGCUAAAUAUUGGCGAGAGACCGAUAGCGAACAAGUACCGUGAGGGAAAGAUGAAAAGCACUUUGGAAAGAGAGUUAAACAGUACGUGAAAUUGUUAAAAGGGAAACGAUUGAAGUCAGUCGUGACUGAGAGGCUCAGCCGGUUCUGCCGGUGUAUUCCCCUCAGUCGGGUCAACAUCAGUUUUGUUCGGUGGAUAAGGGCAGUUGGAAGGUGGCACCCUCGGGUGUGUUAUAGCCAGCUGUCGCAUACAUCGGAUGAGACUGAGGAAUGCAGCUCGCCUUUAUGGCCGGGGUUCGCCCACGUUCGAGCUUAGGAUGUUGACAUAAUGGCUUUAAACGACCCGU
rnacentral:rRNA from 1 species